UAUGUUAGCUUGCUAAUAUAUUUAGUAGCAAAUGGGUGAGUAACACGUACCUAACCUACCUUUUGGACCGGGAUAACUAUUGGAAACAGCAGCUAAUACCGGAUAAAAUAAAAAAAUGCAUGUUUUUUUAUUAAAAGGAGCCUUUAAAGCUUCACCAAAAAAUGGGGGUGCGCAACAUUAGUUAGUUGGUAGGGUAAAGGCCUACCAAGACGAUGAUGUUUAGCGGGGCCAAGAGGCUGUACCGCCACACUGGGAUUGAGAUACGGCCCAGACUCCUACGGGAGGCAGCAGUAAGGAAUAUUCCACAAUGAGCGAAAGCUUGAUGGAGCGACACAGAGUGCAG
rnacentral:rRNA from 1 species